GAUUGAACGCUGGCGGCAGGCCUAACACAUGCAAGUCGAGCGCGAAAGUUCUUCGGAAUGAGUAGAGCGGCGGACGGGUGAGUAAUGCAUAGGAAUCUGCCCAGUAGUGGGGGAUAGCCCGGGGAAACCCGGAUUAAUACCGCAUACGUCCUACGGGAGAAAGCAGGGGAUCUUCGGACCUUGCGCUAUUGGAUGAGCCUAUGUCGGAUUAGCUUGUUGGUGGGGUAAUGGCCCACCAAGGCGACGAUCCGUAGCUGGUCUGAGAGGAUGAUCAGCCACACUGGAACUGAGACACGGUCCAGACUCCUACGGGAGGCAGCAGUGGGGAAUAUUGCACAAUGGGGGAAACCCUGAUGCAGCCAUGCCGCGUGUGUGAAGAAGGCCUUCGGGUUGUAAAGCACUUUCAGUAGGGAGGAAGGCCCUAAAGUUAAUACCUUUGGGGAUUGACGUUACCUACAGAAGAAGCACCGGCUAACUCCGUGCCAGCAGCCGCGGUAAUACGGAGGGUGCGAGCGUUAAUCGGAAUUACUGGGCGUAAAGCGCGCGUAGGCGGUUAGUUAAGCUGGAUGUGAAAGCCCCGGGCUCAACCUGGGAACUGCAUUCAGAACUGGCUGGCUAGAGUACGAGAGAGGGUAGUGGAAUUUCCUGUGUAGCGGUGAAAUGCGUAGAUAUAGGAAGGAACAUCAGUGGCGAAGGCGACUGCCUGGCUCGAU
rnacentral:rRNA from 1 species